rnacentral:rRNA from 1 species
GAUGAACGCUGGCGGCGUGCUUAACACAUGCAAGUCGAACGAAGCAUUUAGAACAGAUUAUUUCGGUAUGAAGUUCUUUAUGACUGAGUGGCGGACGGGUGAGUAACGCGUGGGUAACCUGCCUUGUACUGGGGGAUAGCAGCUGGAAACGGCUGGUAAUACCGCAUAAGCGCACGGUGCUGCAUGGCACAGUGUGAAAAACUACGGUGGUAUAAGAUGGACCCGCGUCUGAUUAGCUAGUCGGUGAGAUACCAGCCCACCAAGGCGAGGAUCAGUAGCCGACGUGGGAGGGUGACCGGCCACAUUGGGACUGAGACACGGCCCAGACUCCUACGGGAGGCAGCAGUGGGGAAUAUUGCACAAUGGAGGAAACUCUGAUGCAGCGACGCCGCGUGAGUGAAGAAGUAAUUCGUUAUGUAAAGCUCUAUCAGCAGGGAAGAUAGUGACGGUGCCUGACUAAGAAGCUCCGGCUAAAUACGUGCCAGCCGCCGCGGUAA